GCAAGUCGAACGGGCAUCCUUCGGGGUGUCAGUGGCAGACGGGUGAGUAACACGUGGGAACGUGCCCUUCGGUUCGGAAUAACUCAGGGAAACUUGAGCUAAUACCGGAUACGCCCUUCGGGGGAAAGGUUUACUGCCGAAGGAUCGGCCCGCGUCUGAUUAGCUUGUUGGUGGGGUAAUGGCCUACCAAGGCGACGAUCAGUAGCUGGUCUGAGAGGAUGAUC
rnacentral:rRNA from 1 species